rnacentral:rRNA from 1 species
ACUGCUCAGUAACACGUGGACAACCUACCCUUGGGUUUGGCAUAAUCCUGGGAAACUGGGUAUAAUUCCGGAUAGGUCACAGAUGCUGGAAUGCACUGUGGCCGAAAGCUCCGGCGCCCAAGGAUGGGUCUGCGGCCUAUCAGGGUUGUAGUGGGUGUAACGGACCUACUAGCCUACGACGGGUACGGGUUGUGAGAGCAAGAGCCCGGAGAUGGAUUCUGAGACACGAAUCCAGGCCCUACGGGGUGCAGCAGGCGCGAAAACUUUACAAUGCGGGAAACCGUGAUAAGGGAAUCUCGAGUGCCAGCAUAUAAUGUUGGCUGUCCAGAUGCCUAAAAAGCAUCUGUUAGCAAGGGCCGGGCAAGACCGGUGCCAGCAGCCGCGGUAAUACGAU